rnacentral:rRNA from 1 species
UACGGAGGGAGCUAGCGUUGUUCGGAAUUACUGGGCGUAAAGCGCACGUAGGCGGCUUUGUAAGUUAGAGGUGAAAGCCCGGGGCUCAACUCCGGAACUGCCUUUAAGACUGCAUCGCUUGAAUCCAGGAGAGGUGAGUGGAAUUCCGAGUGUAGAGGUGAAAUUCGUAGAUAUUCGGAAGAACACCAGUGGCGAAGGACG